rnacentral:lncRNA from 1 species
AGGGGUGUCGAAGGACUCAUUCAAUAUUUGAAUCAUCUCCUCAGGCUGCGUAUCCUCAAACUUAUGACUAAGUUUAUCGUUCAUAGCUGCCCUCAUCAUGCAACGCACAGUCGUGCGGUCAUUGAGUCACUUCAUGUAACUCUCUUACAGCACGAGGAGAAUUGACUAUAGGUUCUUCAGGUGCCUAAUCCGUAAGGACAUAUAAAAUCCUUUCGUGCUCCAAC